UUAGUUAACUUUAAGCAAUAUAUGGAUUUGGGAUAUUAAGGUAUUUAUUGGUAUUGGGUGAAAUCAAAAUCGGUGAGCAUAAUUUGGUUUUCUAAUUUGGUAAACCCUUGUAAAUUGUGAACUCGCACACUGACGGAGGCGGGAGAUUAAUCGGAGAAACUACCAUGGCGAAGCGAGAGCUAUCCAAUACUCUGAAGAACUAAAAGUGUUGUUCAGUUCAUGCACAGAAAGAGGAGAAAACCAAGAAAGAAGAAGCCUGCACCGCUGUUAAAAGAUGUGUCGUUAUAGUAGAAGGUGAUCUGCAUCCAGGGGCAACACGUG